AUCCGAGAAGGAUAUCCGAGGAUUAAUCCUGAGAAUAAUAGCUAAGAUGGUAUAACCCCAUAAUAGAAAUGACAAGGAAUAACAAAUAACUUCUUAUCUCACUACCAAAAGAAUCUUAUCAUCAUCAAGGACUCCCCAGUUGAUGUCUUUGAGACACUCCAUGACUAAAAAGUCAAUUAACUAGCUGCGUCACUCUUUUCUAGAGUCCAUCAAUGCCACCCACAUAAUUUACUAUGUAGAAAGAAAAUAAUAAAGUGC
rnacentral:lncRNA from 1 species